UGUGAACUAGCCGAUAAUACAAACCAUUGUCAAUAUUUACAGUUAAACGUGUUAUAAAAACGGCAAAAAAAAUUAAUCUAAAAAAAACAGAAUGGGUUGCAUCAUCUGUAGUCCCAAAGAAACAAAGAUUUUCAUUUUGCCGCCAAUGAAUGAAAAUGAUAACGAACCGCCACGAUAUGUUACGGUGCAGCCAGGACAGAUCAUAAACCAUCCGUAUGUGUCCUCAGGUGUUAUUCAACGAGCGGAGGAAUUGGCUGAUAAGUAUUAGGUCUAUCUGUUCGAGCUUGAGUGAAGUGUAUUGCUCUGAUAAGGAAAAGAAGAAGGUGAAGUCUGUGGAGUUUCCAAUUUAUUGUUUCAUUGUAAUGAUAAAAAAUUGAUCUGCCAAAUAUGUUGAAAUUUUUCCCUUUUCAA